rnacentral:rRNA from 1 species
CCUACGGGAGGCAGCAGUGGGGAAUAUUGCGCAAUGGGCGAAAGUCUGACGCAGCGACGCCGCGUGAGGGAUGAAGGUCUUCGGAUCGUAAACCUCUGUCAGCAGGGAAGAACGGUCACUGUGCUAAUCAGCAGUGAAUUGACGGUACCUGCAAAGGAAGCACCGGCUAACUCCGUGCCAGCAGCCGCGGUAAUACGGAGGAUGCGAGCGUUAUCCGGAUUUAUUGGGUUUAAAGGGUGCGCAGGCGGAGGCACAAGUCAGCGGUAAAAUCGCGGGGCUCAACCCCGCUCCGCCGUUGAAACUGUGUCCCUUGAGUGCGCGAAGGGUAGGCGGAAUGCGUGGUGUAGCGGUGAAAUGCAUAGAUAUCACGCAGAACUCCGAUCGCGAAGGCAGCCUACCGGCGCGCAACUGACGCUCAUGCACGAAAGCGUGGGUAUCGAACAGGAUUAGAUACCCCUGUAGUC